GCCAAUCAGAGGUAUGGUAGGACCUAUAUGCAAACAAAGCCAUUUGCCACACGGGCCUGCCAUCAUUCACUUUGAACUGGACUGUGUGUUUACAGGUAUUUGCAACAGCGAGACAUUAGAAUGCAUUCGGCAAAAGCCACAAAAUACACACCCGAAUGGAUUUCUGCAAAUAUGUAAAUACCACGGGAGAGUCCUCUUACAUUUGGGAACUUGCCAGUCCUAUUGAUCAAACAACCAUGAAAAGGUAGGCUCUCUCUCUCAUUCAGUUAUACACAUCAACAACCAUGAAAGGGUAGGUCUCUCUCCCUCAGUUAUACACAUCAAUAACCAUGAAAAGGUAGGCUCUCUCUCUCUCCCUCAGUUAUACACAUCAACAACCAUGAAAAGGUAGGCUCUCUCUCUCUCUGUUAUCCACAUCAACAACCAUGAAAAGGUAGGCUCUCUCCCUCAGUUAUACACAUCAACAACCAUGAAAAGGUAGACUCUCUCUCUCCCUCAGUUAUACACGUCAACAACCAUGAAAAGGUAGGCUCUCUCCCUCAGUUAUACACAUCAACAACCAUGAAAAGGUAGACUCUCUCUCUCCCUCAGUUAUACACAUCAACAACCAUGAAAAGGUAGACUCUCUCUCCCUCAGUUAUACACAUCAACAACCAUGAAAAGGUAGGUCUCUCUCUCUUCCUCAGUUAUACACAUCAACAACCAUGAGCUAAUGCUAGCCAGAUCAACAGCUAAUGCUAGCCAGAUCAACAACUAAUGCUAGCCAGAUCAACAACUAAUGCUAGCCAGAUGAACAACUAAUGCUAGCCAGAUGAACAACUAAUGCUAGCCAGAUCAACAGCUAAUGCUAGCCAAAUCAACAGCUAAUGCUAGCCAGAUCAACAACUAAUGCUAGCCAGAUCAACAGCUAAUGCUAGCCAGAUCAACAGCUAAUGCUAGCCAGAUGAACAACUAAUGCUAGCCAGAUCAAUAACUAAUCCUAGCCAGAUCAACAACUAAUGCUAGCCAGAUCAAUAACUAAUCCUAGCCAGAUCAACAACUAAUGCUAGCCAGAUCGACAACUAAUGCUAGCCAGAUCAACAACUAAUGCUAGCCAGAUCAACAACUAAUGCUAGCCAGAUGAACAACUAAUGCUAGCCAGAUCAACAGCUAAUGCUAGCCAAAUCAACAGCUAAUGCUAGCCAGAUCAACAACUAAUGCUAGCCAGAUCAACAGC
rnacentral:lncRNA from 1 species